AGAGUUUGAUCCUGGCUCAGGAUGAACGCCGGCGGUGUGCCUAAUACAUGCAAGUCGUACGCACUGGCCCAACUGAUUGAUGGUGCUUGCACCUGAUUGACGAUGGAUCACCAGUGAGUGGCGGACGGGUGAGUAACACGUAGGUAACCUGCCUCGGAGCGGGGGAUAACAUUUGGAAACAGAUGCUAAUACCGCAUAACAACAAAAGCCACAUGGCUUUUGUUUGAAAGAUGGCUUUGGCUAUCACUCUGGGAUGGACCUGCGGUGCAUUAGCUAGUUGGUAAGGUAACGGCUUACCAAGGCAAUGAUGCAUAGCCGAGUUGAGAGACUGAUCGGCCACAAUGGAACUGAGACACGGUCCAUACUCCUACGGGAGGCAGCAGUAGGGAAUCUUCCACAAUGGGCGCAAGCCUGAUGGAGCAACACCGCGUGAGUGAAGAAGGGUUUCGGCUCGUAAAGCUCUGUUGUUGGAGAAGAACGUGCGUGAGAGUAACUGUUCACGCAGUGACGGUAUCCAACCAGAAAGUCACGGCUAACUACGUGCCAGCAGCCGCGGUAAUACGUAGGUGGCAAGCGUUAUCCGGAUUUAUUGGGCGUAAAGCGAGCGCAGGCGGUUGCUUAGGUCUGAUGUGAAAGCCUUCGGCUUAACCGAAGAAGUGUAUCGGAAACCGGGCGACUUGAGUGCAGAAGAGGACAGUGGAACUCCAUGUGUAGCGGUGGAAUGCGUAGAUAUAUGGAAGAACACCAGUGGCGAAGGCGGCUGUCUGGUCUGCAACUGACGCUGAGGCUCGAAAGCAUGGGUAGCGAACAGGAUUAGAUACCCUGGUAGUCCAUGCCGUAAACGAUGAGUGCUAGGUGUUGGAGGGUUUCCGCCCUUCAGUGCCGGAGCUAACGCAUUAAGCACUCCGCCUGGGGAGUACGACCGCAAGGUUGAAACUCAAAGGAAUUGACGGGGGCCCGCACAAGCGGUGGAGCAUGUGGUUUAAUUCGAAGCUACGCGAAGAACCUUACCAGGUCUUGACAUCUUGCGCUAACCUUAGAGAUAAGGCGUUCCCUUCGGGGACGCAAUGACAGGUGGUGCAUGGUCGUCGUCAGCUCGUGUCGUGAGAUGUUGGGUUAAGUCCCGCAACGAGCGCAACCCUUGUUACUAGUUGCCAGCAUUAAGUUGGGCACUCUAGUGAGACUGCCGGUGACAAACCGGAGGAAGGUGGGGACGACGUCAGAUCAUCAUGCCCCUUAUGACCUGGGCUACACACGUGCUACAAUGGACGGUACAACGAGUCGCAAGCUCGCGAGAGUAAGCUAAUCUCUUAAAGCCGUUCUCAGUUCGGACUGUAGGCUGCAACUCGCCUACACGAAGUCGGAAUCGCUAGUAAUCGCGGAUCAGCAUGCCGCGGUGAAUACGUUCCCGGGCCUUGCACACACCGCCCGUCA
rnacentral:rRNA from 1 species